AUUUUAGGGAGUGUUUUUUUACAACUCCUUAAAAACAAUCAAUGAAUACUAAACUGUUUUUAGCUCAACAUGUGCUUUAUACACUAUAAAUUUAUCAAAUAAUAUUUUAUUUGUUACAUACAAAGAGAGAAAAACAUGGUUAAAACUUUCAAUUUUGUGUGUACUAUGGUUUUAUUAUUUUUUCUAUUUCUUACUGCAAAGAAAGUUUAUGCAUAUCAUCUAUGUAAAACUCGUUUUGAUUGUCCAAGAACCUAUUUAUUGUUCUUUCCUCGUAUGUGGAAGUGCAUUAACCGUCGAUGUAGAUAUGUAUAUUUUUUCGAAUGAUGAUACUAGUUGUACGAGUACAAGACCCAAGAGAGUACACAAACACCAUGGAGGGAAGAAUGAAUUCUUAUAUUGGUAAAAAAUAUAUGCAAUAUACUUUUUGCUAGAAUACUUAGUAGUUGCCAAUUAGUUAUUGUGAUGACACUGAAUAAAUGUAAUUUUGCUUAUUUUUAUUAUAAAUGUAAUUUUGUAAUCCAAAAAGUCAAAAAUGAAAUGAAAUAAAGAACUACAGAAUGUAA